rnacentral:rRNA from 1 species
AUUGAACGCUGGCGGCAGGCCUAACACAUGCAAGUCGAGCGGAUGACGGGAGCUUGCUCCUUGAUUCAGCGGCGGACGGGUGAGUAAUGCCUAGGAAUCUGCCUGGUAGUGGGGGACAACGUUUCGAAAGGAACGCUAAUACCGCAUACGUCCUACGGGAGAAAGCAGGGGACCUUCGGGCCUUGCGCUAUCAGAUGAGCCUAGGUCGGAUUAGCUAGUAGGUGAGGUAAUGGCUCACCUAGGCGACGAUCCGUAACUGGUCUGAGAGGAUGAUCAGUCACACUGGAGCUGAGACACGGUCCAGACUCCUACGGGAGGCAGCAGUGGGGAAUAUUGGACAAUGGGCGAAAGCCUGAUCCAGCCAUGCCGCGUGUGUGAAGAAGGUCUUCGGAUUGUAAAGCACUUUAAGUUGGGAGGAAGGGCAGUAAGUUAAUACCUUGCUGUUUUGACGUUACCGACAGAAUAAGCACCGGCUAACUCUGUGCCAGCCGCCGCAGUAAGAC